CAAGCAGGGAUGAGUCCUGGCAGUGUUUUGUUUAAGCUGACAGCGACAUAGCUCUUAUGUUUGGUGCACCCGCCGAUAGCGUCCUGUGCCGUCUGUCCUUCCAGCUGGUGAGGCAGCUUACAUCGGACUGGUGAGACCUGUGUGUGAACUAGGAGUGGAGAAAGGGAAGAGGAGCGAAGGAGGUCUGGUGCAGCGGAAACGAGGCUACGCUAAACUGUCCACUCUGCCGCCCUCACGUAUGCUGUGAGGGUGAGGAUGUCCCCUUGGUGGGCCUCUUAAUGGCAGAGUGGAAGGAGAAAGAAGGAGCAUGUGAGGCAUGGUCGGAGACGACAGGCCUGAUGGAUCUGUGGUCUGAAGCGUUCUGCUCCACUGCCCUUAGCAACUCAGGUGCGGGAGGUAGGAGUCCAUCAUUCUGAUGUCAUCUCCCACUCGGCAGAGGAGCUCAAGGACACCUCCUGCUGUGACUCGGGUCACUGCCCCAGGACCCCACACGUGACUCACAUGCCAGGCUUGGCUCCAGCCAUCAAGACCAUGCGCAGGGCGAUGCGCUUGUGUAAAUUCCACUUCUCCACAGCUGCUGCCACGCAGAUGACGCCCACCAACAGCAGCGUGGUGUUCUUGAAGUACUCAGCCGCCACCUGUAGGGAGGUCAGGAAGGCCGGUCA